rnacentral:rRNA from 1 species
GUUAAGAAUUUUGCGCAAUGGGCGAAAGCCUGACGCAGCGACGCCGCGUGAGCGAUGAAGGCCCAUAGGGUUGUAAAGCUCAUUAGAUGGGGACGAAUAAUCUAUAUUUAAUAGAUGUAGAGAUGACGGUACCUAUUGAAAGCCCCGGCUAAUUACGUGCCAGCAGCCGCGGUAAUACGUAUGGGGCGAGCGUUGUUCGGAAUUAUUGGGCGUAAAGGGAGCGUAGGCGGGGGAUUAAGUCAGGUGUGAAAGGCCACAGCUUAACUGUGGGACUGCAUUUGAUACUGAUUUCCUUGAGUCUGGGAGAGGAAGACGGAAUUCCUGGUGUAGCGGUGAAAUGCGUAGAUAUCAGGAGGAACACCGGUGGCGAAGGCGGUCUUCUGGUCUAAGACUGACGCUGAGGCUCGAAAGCAUGGGGAGCAAACGGGAUUAGAUACCCUAGUAGUCC